CUUCAGAUGUUUGGACUCUCCAUCUUGAAUGUGAGGGUGCAACUCCAGGACAGGAACAUGUGUGCAAAGGGAAAUGGACAAGGAUAUGAUAUGUUUCUUCAACUUGGAAUUUGUCCAGGAAUAUGGGUACACAUCAAACGAUUAUUUGUAUUACAAGAGGAGAUAGUUUGGUUGCUAUAGAAUGGGAUUCCGAUGUCAUGGAAAUGCUUAAAGACAAUGAAACCACAAAGGAUGUUAACUUGUUUGUGACAAAGCAGAUAAUGGCCAUUAUGGCAUCUAAGUCGAAGAAACCACCAACCAAGUCUGCACCAACUAAAACUAAAAGGAGUAUGAAAAAAGUGGUGCAAAGAGCAAGGAGUGUCUGCUGGUUAUUCAAACUAAAUCAAAAUAUGCCAAUGAUAUUGACCAACAGCAUGAUGAUGACAUCCAAGAACCAUCAGCUGAUGGUGAUGAAUUACAUAUGCGAAAGGGGACUAUUUUGACAUAUGUUUGGAAUUUGUAUGAGGGAAAACGAAUAGUAGUAAAAUGCAAUAAUCUUGGUCAACCGAUUGGAAAAGAAGGUGGUCUGCUAGGACAAUUUUUAGGCACUGUAGCAUGAAAUGGUGGUUAUUGCCCUGUAGAUAUCAAAGAUUGGAGAAAGGUCAAAAAGGAUAAUGCUAGUCAUUCAAGUUUG